CUUGGUCAUUUAGAGGAAGUAAAAGUCGUAACAAGGUCUCCGUUGGUGAACCAGCGGAGGGAUCAUUACCGAGUUUACAACUCCCAAACCCAAUGUGAACCAUACCAAACUGUUGCCUCGGCGGGGUCACGCCCCGGGUGCGUCGCAGCCCCGGAACCAGGCGCCCGCCGGAGGGACCAACCAAACUCUUUCUGUAGUCCCCUCGCGGACGUUAUUUCUUACAGCUCUGAGCAAAAAUUCAAAAUGAAUCAAAACUUUCAACAACGGAUCUCUUGGUUCUGGCAUCGAUGAAGAACGCAGCGAAAUGCGAUAAGUAAUGUGAAUUGCAGAAUUCAGUGAAUCAUCGAAUCUUUGAACGCACAUUGCGCCCGCCAGUAUUCUGGCGGGCAUGCCUGUCCGAGCGUCAUUUCAACCCUCGAACCCCUCCGGGGGGUCGGCGUUGGGGAUCGGGAACCCCUAAGACGGGAUCCCGGCCCCGAAAUACAGUGGCGGUCUCGCCGCAGCCUCUCCUGCGCAGUAGUUUGCACAACUCGCACCGGGAGCGCGGCGCGUCCACGUCCGUAAAACACCCAACUUCUGAAAUGUUGACCUCGGAUCAGGUAGGAAUACCCGCUGAACUUAAGCAUAUCAAUAAGCGGAGG
rnacentral:rRNA from 1 species